AGGAUGAACGCUGCGGCAGGCUUAAUACAUGCAAGUUGAACGGUAACAUGUUGUAGCAAUACGAUGAUGACGAGUGGCGCACGGGUGCGUAACACGUGUGUAACCUACCUUAUACAGGAACAUAACGUUGAGAAAUCGGCGCUAACAUUCCAUAAUAUUAUUUGUAGGCAUCUAUGAAUAAUUAAAACUCCGGUGGUAUAAGAUGGGCACGCGUUCCAUUAGCUAGUUGGUAAGGUAACGGCUUACCAAGGCAACGAUGGAUAGGGUUCUGAGAGGAUAAUCCCCCACACUGGAACUGAGACACGGUCCAGACUCCUACGGGAGGCAGCAGUAAGGAAUAUUGGGCAAUGGAGGCAACUCUGACCCAGCCAUGCCCGCGUGCAGGAAGACGGCCCUAUGGGUUGUAAACUGCUUUUAAUAGGGAUUAAAGUCGACUACGUGUAGUUGUUUGCAAGUACCUAUAGAAUAAGCAUCGGCUAACUCCGUGCCAGCCGCCGC
rnacentral:rRNA from 1 species